rnacentral:snRNA from 1 species
AUGUUCACCUGCCAGAGAGAUGGCAAGGUCAAGAAGAUGGCAUUCUCAAGGUCAGGUCCAUCUACUGCAGUCUGCUGUGCUGACCCUGAGAUUCCCUCACAUCCAGGAAACUCAACUGNGUCAUUUGUGGUAGCGGGGGACUGCGUUCAUGUUCUCCCCUG